GCUCUCGAGGCCCGAAUGGAGCGGGCGCCGGGCUGCGAAGCCGGAGGUUGGAGGUUCGAGUCCUCCCGAGAGCG
rnacentral:tRNA from 1 species